rnacentral:rRNA from 1 species
CUACGGGAGGCAGCAGUGGGGAAUAUUGCACAAUGGGCGAAAGCCUGAUGCAGCAACGCCGCGUGAGCGAUGAAGGCCUUCGGGUCGUAAAGCUCUGUCCUCAAGGAAGAUAAUGACGGUACUUGAGGAGGAAGCCACGGCUAACUACGUGCCAGCAGCCGCGGUAAUACGUAGGUGGCAAGCGUUGUCCGGAAUUAUUGGGCGUAAAGCGCGCGCAGGCGGUUCCUUAAGUCUGAUGUGAAAGCCCCCGGCUCAACCGGGGAGGGUCAUUGGAAACUGGGGAACUUGAGUGCAGAAGAGGAGAGCGGAAUUCCACGUGUAGCGGUGAAAUGCGUAGAGAUGUGGAGGAACACCAGUGGCGAAGGCGGCUCUCUGGUCUGUAACUGACGCUGAGGCGCGAAAGCGUGGGGAGCGAACAGGAUUAGAUACCCUGGUAGUCCACGCCGUAAACGAUGAGUGCUAAGUGUUAGAGGGUUUCCGCCCUUUAGUGCUGCAGCAAACGCAUUAAGCACUCCGCCUGGGGAGUACGGCCGCAAGGCUGAAACUCAAAGGAAUUGAC